AAUUAGAAAGCGAAUUAUUGCAUUUAGUUUCGACCUAAACCUUGGCGCUUAGCCUCUAAUUA
rnacentral:tRNA from 1 species